GACCGCGUAGCUCAGUUGGCAGAGCAUUGGGCUAGUAUUCCGAAGGUCGCAGGUUCGAUUCCCACCGUGGUCA
rnacentral:tRNA from 1 species